rnacentral:misc_RNA from 1 species
AAAUAAAAUAAAAUAAAAUAAAAACGCCACACACACAAAGCUACCCAACAGGAGCACCAAUGUUUGAUGGAAGCAACCAUCCAGCAUGGGCCGUAAGAAUAAGAGUUCAUAUCAAUGCACAAGACCUUUGGGGAGUAGUUGAGGAAGACUACGAAGUUCCUGAUCUGCCUGCUAGUCCAACUAUGAAUCAAAUUAAGAUUCAUCAAGGAAAGAAAACGAGAAAGGCCAAGCAAUAACUUGCCUUAUGUUGUUGUAUCUCCGCUCAUUUUCACCAGAAUCAUGAACUUGGAGUCUGCAAAGGCCAUCUAAGAUUACCUCCGACAUGAACACUGGGGAAAUGAAAGAGUGAAAACUAUGCAGGUGUUGAAUCUCAUUUGAAAUGCAAAAGAUGAAGGAGUCAAAAACAGUCAAAGAAUAUGUAGACAAGUUACUUAGCAUUGUCUAGGUAAGGACAUUUUUUAUGAAAAAAUUGUUCAUAAAUACUGGUUACCUUGCUAGACACCUGUGAAGUAUUACCUUGGCAGAAUUAAUUCAUGCUUUGCAAGCGCACGAAUGAACAAAGAAUGAGGGAAGAACGUGCGAUGGAGGGAGCCCUCCAAAUACAAGUACAUAACCAAGUAAAAGCAAAAGAAAUAAAAAUAACAAAAAAUAAAAAUUUUCACCUUAUUCCUUCUGCAAAAAGAACAAUCACCCACAAGAAAGAAGAAAGAUGUUGGUGGAGACCAAAUGCACAAUGUAAAAAAUGUGAACAGCUAGGACACAUAGAGAUCAGAUGCAAUGCACAACAAACAAGAGAAGCCUAAGUCAGUGCGGAUCAAAAUCAGGAGGAGGAGUGGAGGAGCUAUUAUAUUAGCUAUUCUGGUAGCUUAAACACUGAUAUAAAUACUAUGCCACCGAAUAGUAUAAAUAAGAGAGUAUGCCUUAGUAGCUGCAAAGCCUACCGAAGAUGCUAAUGUGGCUGUUGAAACAAUCAAAACAUGAAUCUAAAAAUUACCAUUUAAUCUGUUGUUCCUGUUACUAUUUUUUAGGAAUAAUCUUGCUAUGCUGAAAAAUAGGAAAUAUUGCUGAAUGUGCAGAUUUAUGCUUUCUUGUAUAAAUUCAAACUUCAAAUUAAUGAAACAAUAAGAUCAGACCAUUCAGUCUCCAAAAGCUUUGGUUGCUGUUUUUUUUCUUUUUUUUCCCCCUCUAGUUGCCUCUGAUUUCCAUUAAAAAAUCAACAACAUCAAAGGAUCUACCUUCUACUUACCCAGUUGCAUAUUCAUGGCAAGCCAUUUUGGUACUACUAAGAACACAGAUUUCUAUGGAGAAUGUGCAACAUACAAUUAUGCAUAUAGUAGACUUACAGGCCAUAUAAUGAUUGGUCUCAUGAUGGGCUCCUCAUACGACCAGAUUGAGUUCAAGGACAUAUAUGGUGUGACUUCACAUUCGCUUUACAUAAACAUGCAAGUUAUACUCAUAGGAGUGAUCUCAGACCCACAACAACGUUCCUCAGAAUGGCAAAGACAGGUUGGCUUAUUUCUGAGAGAAGGGCUGGGAUGUAUCUUCCAAUAUUUUAUUCAGUAUCAUGGGCAGUGGGUGAGAUAUUGAUGGAAAUCAACAAGAACAACA